UACAGAGGGGGCAAGCGUUGUUCGGAAUUACUGGGCGUAAAGGGCGCGUAGGCGGCCUUCUAAGUCGAACGUGAAAUCCCCGGGCUCAACCCGGGAACUGCGUCCGAUACUGGAAGGCUUGAAUCCGGGAGAGGGAUGCGGAAUUCCAGGUGUAGCGGUGAAAUGCGUAGAUAUCUGGAGGAACACCGGUGGCGAAGGCGGCAUCCUGGACCGGUAUUGACGCGUGAGGCGCGAAAGCCGGGGAGCAAAGCGGG
rnacentral:rRNA from 1 species